rnacentral:piRNA from 1 species
UGCAAAUGACGAGAGCCUACCCAGCC